rnacentral:rRNA from 1 species
AGAACGAACGCUGGCGGCAGGCCUAACACAUGCAAGUCGAACGCUCGUAGCAAUACGAGAGUGGCAGACGGGUGAGUAACGCGUGGGAACCUUCCCAGUGGUACGGAAUAGCUCAGGGAAACUUGGGGGUAAUACCGUAUACGCCCUUCGGGGGAAAGAUUUAUCGCCAUUGGAUGGGCCCGCGUAGGAUUAGCUAGUUGGUGAGGUAACGGCUCACCAAGGCGACGAUCCUUAGCUGGUCUGAGAGGAUGAUCAGCCACACUGGGGCUGAGACACGGCCCAGACUCCUACGGGAGGCAGCAGUGGGGAAUAUUGGACAAUGGGCGCAAGCCUGAUCCAGCCAUGCCGCGUGAGUGACGAAGGCCUUAGGGUUGUAAAGCUCUUUUGGCGGGGAAGAUAAUGACGGUACCGCAGAAUAAGCUCGGCUAACUUCGUGCCAGCAGCCGC